GACGGAGGAUGCAAGUGUUAUCCGGAAUCACUGGGCGUAAAGCGUCUGUAGGUCGUUUAAAAAGUCUACUGUUAAAAAUUGAAGCUUAACUUCAAAGAUGCCGUAGAAACUUUUAAACUUGAGUAUGGUAGGGGUAGAGGGAAUUUCCAGUGGAGCGGUGAAAUGCGUAGAUAUUGGAAGACCACCAAUGGCGAAGGCACUCUACUGGGCCAUUACUGACACUGAGAGACGAAAGCUAGGGGAGCAAAUGGG
rnacentral:rRNA from 1 species